rnacentral:rRNA from 1 species
UACGGGGGGGGCAAGCGUUGUUCGGAAUUACUGGGCGUAAAGGGUUCGUAGGUGGCCAACUCAGUCAGACGUGAAAUCCCUCAGCUUAACUGGGGAACUGCGUCUGAUACUGGAUGGCUCGAGUGCAGGAGAGGAACGCGGAAUUCCAGGUGUAGCGGUGAAAUGCGUAGAUAUCUGGAGGAACACCGGUGGCGAAGGCGGCGUUCUGGACUGCAACUGACACUGAGGAACGAAAGCCAGGGGAGCAAACGGG